rnacentral:lncRNA from 1 species
AUAAAAUUGAGAAUGGAAAUGGGGAAUGUGUCAAAGAGACAACAACCCGACCAAAUAAAAAACAACAGCAGAGGGUCACCAACAGGUCUUCAAUGUAGCGAGAAAUUCCCGCACCCGGAGGCGUCCUUCAGCUGGCCCCUAAACAAAUAUAUGCUAGUCCAGUGAUAAUGAACGCCAUACUAAUUUCCAAAUUGUACACAAGAAACUAAAAUUAAAAUAAUACAAGACUAACAAAGGACAGAGGCUCCUGACUUGGGACAGGCGCAAAAAUGCGGCGGGGUUAAACAUGUUUGUGAGAUCUCAACCCUCCCCCUAUACCUCUAACCAAUGUAGAAAAGUAAACGCAUAACAAUACGCACAUUAAAAUUCAGUUCAAGAGAAG